AAGUGUCCAUCGAUGACGUCACGAUGGCCCUUCAAACUCUUUUUCCUGUUCGCGCGUCACCAGCCCCACGUGCACACAUUAGAACCGGCUGUCUAUGCUCUGUCUUCAUUUUUAAUUUAACCUCUUAAGACCUGCAUCGUCAUUGCGUCGGUUGACUAUUGGUCGGUGUUACACGUAUCUCGAACAAUCGUGAAAUCGAGCAGGUUCUAGUUCUAUUUCUGUAUUAUUCCAUCCUGGACGAAGGACAAGAAAUCGCAAUGUAUACAUUACCAAUGGUCGAAAGAAAUGAUCCGGUGGCCAGUCAGCUGAUUCGAUCGCUAUUUGAUUGAGACAUGAAAUGAUUGGCGGGUUGUGAAGAGGAAAAAAGAAAUAUUACGUGACGAUUGUUAUUGUGCUUCGAUAUUGAAGCCGUUGAAGUUGUUGGAUACGUAAUUACCCUUGAUCUGUAUUAUAGAUAUUUUUUCCUUCAUAAUUCAGUAAUGCAUUUAAAAUAACUCCUGGAGUCGGGAAUUUCUUUUUAAUUGUAGCCACCUUCAAAAUUAUAUCUAACGGUAUUAAGCUACAUACGUGUUUGAGUGUAAAUAUAAGAAUGGAAAACAAAAUUUUUUAGAUGUUCACAGCAGCAAUCACAGCGUGACUGACUAACGCGCAUGUAAGGAUCAGUGCCGCGCAAAAAUGAUAGACAGUCGAUGACGCUGAGCAGACGCGGACGAACGUGUUCUUGCACGAGUCUUCCAGACAUUUGUGAUUCCAUCCAACGCUCCAGCGGAACCUCUGUUAUUUACAUAUGUAUAUAUAAAUAAUUCUCGAUCAUUCGCUAGACUGUAUGUCCCUGCGUGUGGUUGUCAGAUGACGUUUUACAGUUCUUCUUCUUAAUAUACAGUAUAGAUAUCUUGACUUACUAACACCAUUUAAUCGAAUGAUGCACGGUCAAGGGUUUUCCGCGCGUCUAAAUGCAUGCAUAGAAUUUAAAUUUACAUGGUGAAUAGCAUUUAAGAAUCAUAGGACGUGUAAAACGAUUAUGCGGAAGUAAGGUUAGAAUCGCCCGAGGCUAGUGUUGCCAAGUUGAUUCGCAUUUACGGAAAAUUCCGCACUCGUAUACUUUAUACAUCCCUGUCUACUCGCUUUAUGAAUCUUUUAAGUUACUUCGAAGUUUCUUCGACCCACCUUGACUUCCCUUGACUCGUAUCGUUACAGGUUAAGAUCGAGUUUAAAUUAUCGUAAUCGUACGAACCAUUCAAUGGUAAGAUCAAACAUCCUAACUACGUUUUGAAUGAACGUUAUUUUUCCCACGUAGCGACGGCAUUUCGACGGGCUAAUAUGUCAGAUUCCAAUUAAUAACACAACGUGUGCGAUGAUAACGUCUAAUAGCAGUCAUUAAAAUGUCAAUAAAAAUGUCCAUCGGUUCUUUUUACGUCGGGACGAUCAUAGUUCGCGUACGAUUGACGUAGUAGUGCAAGCGACGUACAUAUAUAUUUUUAGGUUCCAAGUCUGUAUUUGCUGCCGAAAAAACUCAUUAUUUUAACCGGAAGAUUGAGAUUCUUUUUUUUUCAAAUUAUUUAUUCAAUUCUUAAUAUGCGCUCAGUCACUAAUCGACGACCUAUUAUCUGUUCAACUCGUGGCAAUUCCAUCACGUGAGUCAACGACUCGUAUAGCUACAUGAAAACAACCUAUCCCGGUAGAAUUCCAGUUUUUAAUGCGGACGUCAAAUGGAUUCACGAGCGUUACGCGUUCUUCAUUAGAAAUUCUGAUUAGCGAAACAUUCGCUAUAUUAUCAUGUUCAUUUUAAUUCGAUCAAAAAACCAAAUCUCAUUGUUGCACUGUCAUCUUUCGUAAUUUUUAUGUCGUAUUAAGCUCAAGUCAUACAACUCAAAUAAUAUUCACACAUCACUACACUAUUCAGUAUCAACACCAUUAGGACGCUACAAUGUCAUUACAGUUCAGUACAAUUUCGUUGGUAAAAAUAUUAAUUUAAAUAUUAAAAAAUUACUAAAUAUCGCAGAUUUAAUGCCGGACACGCAUAAUGUUACACGAACGUUAGGGCACUGAGACGAAAACUGAAAUGCGGGAACAGUCCUACUUCGAUCCGUGAAAUAAUUGUAUAGAUUAGUGUUCGGUACGGAUACAAUACUGAUACGUGUGAAUCGGCCUUUAAGCGUUCUUAAAUUUCCACUUUGAGCAAUCCGAUAUGAUAUUAUCAACGGUUGAGCAAUUCGAUAAUAACUAACCUUUAGCGACGGUUCUUAUUUCGAGAAUACACGGAAGUCAUUUUCUAUUAUCUAUAGUUCUAUCAAUUAUUUCAUUUCUACGGCCGUACUUUCCCUCCUGAUAUCAGUUAUGGAUAUUCUACAAACGUUAUUUAUAGGGUAGUCUGACUUACCAUUUUCCUAUUAUAGUACGACGUAUUAACAUAAUAUAUACUGCUGUUUUAUUAUUAGACUUUUAUGCCUGGG